AAAACAUAAUCAUAAAACUGCCCCCUGGUGGCGAAUAUGUGUUUCGCUUCAUCCUUGCAUUACGGUGGAGUGGGCGGAGCCUCGUGAAUGACGGUUAUUUUUUUCAAACGAGGGAGUGAAGUCAAGUCCGCCAUUUCAUCUUCUUCUUUAUAUCGGAAAAGAAAGGAAUCAUGCAAGGAUGCAAGCUGAAGGAAAGGACAACUAUCACAUCAGUGCAUUACUAAUUGUUUGACUUCAUCAUCAAGCACACCAGCUCAGAUUGUGAUGGACCUGGAAUGCGACA